rnacentral:rRNA from 1 species
CCUACGGGCGGCAGCAGUGAGGAAUAUUGGUCAAUGGACGAGAGUCUGAACCAGCCAAGUAGCGUGAAGGAUGACUGCCCUAUGGGUUGUAAACUUCUUUUAUAUGGGAAUAAAAUGUUCCACGUGUGGGAUUUUGUAUGUACCAUAUGAAUAAGGAUCGGCUAACUCCGUGCCAGCAGCCGCGGUAAUACGGAGGAUCCGAGCGUUAUCCGGAUUUAUUGGGUUUAAAGGGAGCGUAGGUGGAUUGUUAAGUCAGUUGUGAAAGUUUGCGGUUCAACCGUAAAAUUGCAGUUGAAACUGGCAGUCUUGAGUACAGUAGAGGUGGGCGGAAUUCGUGGUGUAGCGGUGAAAUGCUUAGAUAUCACGAAGAACUCCGAUUGCGAAGGCAGUUCACUGGACUGCAACUGACACUGAGGCUCGAAAGUGUGGGUAUCAAACAGGAUUAGAUACCCUAGUAGUC